UUGUAGCUCAGGUGGUUAGAGCGCACCCCUGAUAAGGGUGAGGUCGGUGGUUCAAGUCCACUCAGGCCUACCA
rnacentral:tRNA from 1 species